ACCCAAUUCCCUGUGUGCUUCAAAUUGCUUCAAGAGCUGCUGCCCCUAAACACCAACUAAUCCCUUUGAAAACGGCCUGGGGCAUCAAUUUGAGUGUCAAAAUUGACUACAAAGUGUAAAGAGGAUAAUUUUGGUCAUAAAGUCAGUCUCGUCUGAAACGGAGUUUGGAUUACAAUUAUGUAAACAAAUCAUGCCCUCUUUUGCCAAGCUCCACGUGCAAAUCGCCCCUCUGCCCACUUCGCUUCCGUUUAUUCAACGUGGCUCCGUUGUUUCAUCGCCCCAAUGCGCUCAAAAGAUCACAGAUGUUUUAGACUGAAAAACCCUAUACAGAUUAACUAUGCAAUGCAUGCUUCCAGCAGGAUGCACAUCCAAAUGGUUUGCUUGCUCUGCGGAAGGAGCCCAGUGACAAAGUGCACAGUUGGGUGUCAGACUGAUCCCCUGGUCAUGAAUGGAUGCCAGGACCUACCAGAAGGAGAAAAUUUGUUUGAGAGAUGUUCAGUUUGCUGCCAAACAUGCAGCAUAGAGAAGACCAGCAAGGGGGCCCUCAUCACCAUCAUGAAGACAUGUCCUCACUGUAAGCAUUCCUAUGAAUGGAACAGUCAGCCACAUUUUGGCAAGUAUGCGGCCAGCAACCUUCACCUGUCAGCGGAAACAGCUUCUACAGGCUCAUCAUUUGUACAAAUACAGAAGUAUCUUUGAUAAGGGGCUAGGAGCUGAUCUACGCUGCUAUGCCCAUCAAUGGGGCGCUAGCAAAGACCUCACCUCCAGCCUCACCACUUGCCUGCUCACGAACGGUCGUCGAUGGGGAGGCAAUCACAGUCACUGUUCUAUAUGUGUUUACAGAUUCAUGAGGACAUUAGGACAUAGACAAACACUAUCCAGGUUAGACUUCCACACGCCAGUCCCCCAGGGGGCAGCAGCAACCUUUGAGCCUGGUUGGUAAGCAUAUCAGGUUCUUUGUAGCUCAGUUGGUAGAGCAGGGUGCUUGUAAUGCCAGGGUAGUGGGUUCUAUUCCCAGGACCACCCAUAUGUAAAAUGUAUGCAAUUAAGACUAAGUCGCUUAAAAGCGUCUCCUAAAUGGCAUAUACACUGAGUGUACAAAACAAUAACACCUUCCUAAUAUUGACUUGCACCUCCCUUUUUUCCCUCAGAACAGCCUCAAUUCAUCGGGGCAUGGCCUCUACAAGGUGUCUCAAGCAUUCCAUAGAGAUGCUGGCCCAUGUUGACUCCAAUGCUUCCCAUAGUUGUGUCAAGUUGGCUGGAUGUCCUUUGAGUGGCGGACCAUUCUUGAUACACACUGGAAACUGUUGAGUGUGAAAAAUCCAUAGCGUUGCAGUUCUUGACACAAACCAGUGCCUGCUACCAUACCAUUCAAAGGCACUUAAAUAUUUUGUCUUGCUCAUCUGAAUGGCACACAUACACAAUCCAUGUCUCAAGGCUUAAAAAUCCUUCUUUAACCUUUUUCCUUCCCUUCAUCCACACUGAUUCAAAUGGAUUUAACAAGUGACAUCAAUAAGGGAUCAUAGCUUUUACCUGGAUUCACCUGAUCAGUCUUUGUCAUGGAAAGAGCAGGUAUUCAUAAUGUUUUGUACACUCAGUAUAUAUUAUAUUUAAUUGGGGGUGAUUGUUAUUUUUUAUUAUAUGUGUAAUUGACAUUUUACUGCAUUGUUAGGAGCUAGUAACAAGCAUUUUGCUGCUCCCACUAUAACAUGUGUCACGCCUACUCCAGCGCUCGACGGUCUACUAACCCCCGGUGCUGGCAACCAUCCUUACACACACCUGCUCCCCAUUAUUACGCACACCUGGACUUCAUCAUCACCUUAAUUACACUCCCUUUAUUUGGCCCUCAGUAGCCUCAGUCAUCAGGCAGUGUUGGUUUGCUUUCAUGUUCAGUACGCAUCUCCUGUUUAGUUCAUUUGCCUUUCAUCAUUGUUAUUAAACUCUCCUUCUGCACCUGC